CGUGUUGAGUGUGUAGUGCUCCAUACAUUGUACUUUACUGUGUGUAGUGCUACAUACAUUGUACUGUACUGUGUGUGUAGUGCUCCUUGCAGUGAAUCGUCCAGUGGUAUAAGCUCAUUCUUAAGUCAGUUGUUGCUGUUACCUUUAUACAAAAUGAUUCUGUUUGCUGUUUAAAAAAAUUGAAAUAAUAAAUAAUAAUAAAAAAGAAAUUUAUAAAAUAAAAUCGCAAUAUUUUUUUUUUAAACCAGUGU